UAGGGAAUAUUAGUAAUGGGCGCAAGCCUGAACUAGCAACACCGCAUGUGCGAAGAAGGCCUUCGGGUUGUAAAGCACUUUUCGGGAGGAUGAGGAAGGACGGUACUCCCGGAAUAAGUCUCGGCUAACUACGUGCCAGCAGCCGCGGUAAAACGUAGGAGGCAAACGUUAUCCGGAUUUACUGGGCGUAAAGCGCGUGUAGGUGGUUUGGUAAGUAGGGCGUGAAAGCUCCUGGCUCAACUGGGAGAGGUCGUUCUAAACUGCCGAGCUAGAGGAUGGUAGAGGGAGGUGGAAUUCCGGGUGUAGCGGUGGAAUGCGCAGAUAUCCGGAGGAACACCAGUGGCGAAAGCGGCCUCCUGGACCACUCCUGACACUCAGACGCGAAGGCUAGGGUAGCAAACGG
rnacentral:rRNA from 1 species